GAGGGUAUAGCUCAGUGGUAGAGUGCAUGCUUGGCGUGCAUGAGGUUCUGGGUUCAACCCCCCAGUACCUCCA
rfam:Camelus ferus unplaced genomic scaffold scaffold1435, whole genome shotgun sequence.